rfam:Pan troglodytes isolate Yerkes chimp pedigree #C0471 (Clint) chromosome 19, whole genome shotgun sequence.
ACCAGGUGUGGUGGCACGCACCUGUAGUCCCAGCUACUCACUCAGGAGGCUGAGACAGGAGGAUGGCUUGAGCCCAGGAGGUUGAGGCUGCAGUGAGCCGUGAUCAUGCCACUGCACUCCAGCCUGGGUGACAAAGCCAGACCCUGUCUCAA